rnacentral:rRNA from 1 species
CGAAAUGCGCUACUUACUGUGAAUUNCCGAAUUCCGUGAAUCAUCGAAUCUUUGAACGCACCUUGCG